rnacentral:rRNA from 1 species
UGCAGUCGAACGGUAACGGGCCUUCGGGUGCCGACGAGUGGCGAACGGGUGAGUAAUGCAUCGGAACGUACCUUUCAGUGGGGGAUAACGUAGCGAAAGUUACGCUAAUACCGCAUAUUCUGUGCGCAGGAAAGCAGGGGAUCGCAAGACCUUGCGCUGAUUGAGCGGCCGAUGUCAGAUUAGCUAGUUGGUGAGGUAAAGGCUCACCAAGGCGACGAUCUGUAGCGGGUCUGAGAGGAUGAUCCGCCACACUGGAACUGAGACACGGUCCAGACUCCUACGGGAGGCAGCAGUGGGGAAUUUUGGACAAUGGGGGCAACCCUGAUCCAGCCAUGCCGCGUGAGUGAAGAAGGCCUUCGGGUUGUAAAGCUCUUUCGGCCGGGAAGAAAUCGCAUGGGCCAAUACCCUGUGCGGAUGACGGUACCGGCAUAAGAAGCACCGGCUAACUACGUGCCAGCAGCCGCGGUAAUACGUAGGGUGCGAGCGUUAAUCGGAAUUACUGGGCGUAAAGCGUGCGCAGGCGGUUUUGUAAGACAGGCGUGAAAUCCCCGGGCUCAACCUGGGAACUGCGCUUGUGACUGCAAGGCUAGAGUACGGCAGAGGGGGGUGGAAUUCCACGUGUAGCAGUGAAAUGCGUAGAGAUGUGGAGGAACACCAAUGGCGAAGGCAGCCCCCUGGGUCGAUACUGACGCUCAUGCACGAAAGCGU